rnacentral:rRNA from 1 species
UGGAUCCUGAGUACGACGGAGCACGUGAAAUUCCGUCGGAAUCUGGGAGGACCAUCUCCUAAGGCUAAAUACUCUCUAGUGACCGAUAGUGAACCAGUACCGUGAGGGAAAGGUGAAAAGUACCCCGGAAGGGGAGUGAAAGAGAACUUGAAACCGUGUGCUUACAAGUAGUCAGAGCCCGUUAAUGGGUGAUGGCGUGCCUUUUGUAGAAUGAACCGGCGAGUUACGAUCUGAUGCAAGGUUAAGCAGAAAAUGUGGAGCCGUAGCGAAAGCGAGUCUGAAUAGGGCGAAUGAGUAUUUGGUCGUAGACCCGAAACCAGGUGAUCUACCCUUGGUCAGGUUGAAGUUCAGGUAACACUGAAUGGAGGACCGAACCGACUUACGUUGAAAAGUGAGCGGAUGAACUGAGGGUAGCGGAGAAAUUCCAAUCGAACUUGGAGAUAGCUGGUUCUCUCCGAAAUAGCUUUAGGGCUAGCCUCAAGUGAUGAUUAUUGGAGGUAGAGCACUGUUUGGACGAGGGGCCCCUCUCGGGUUACCGAAUUCAGACAAACUCCGAAUGCCAAAUAAUUUAACUUGGGAGUCAGAAUGUGGGUGAUAAGGUCCAUAUUCGAAAGGGAAACAGCCCAGACCACCAGCUAAGGUCCCAAAAUAUAUGUUAAGUGGAAAAGGAUGUGGCGUUGCCCAGACAACUAGGAUGUUGGCUUAGAAGCAGCCAUCAUUUAAAGAGUGCGUAAUAGCUCACUAGUCGAGUGACACUGCGCCGAAAAUGUACCGGGGCUAAACAUAUUACCGAAGCUGUGGAUUG